UACGUAGGGUGCAAGCGUUAUCCGGAUUCACUGGGUUUAAAGGGUGCGUAGGUGGGCAGGUAAGUCAGUGGUGAAAUCUCCGGGCUUAACCCGGAAACUGCCGUUGAUACUAUUUGUCUUGAAUAUUGUGGAGGUAAGCGGAAUAUGUCAUGUAGCGGUGAAAUGCUUAGAUAUGACAUAGAACACCAAUUGCGAAGGCAGCUUACUACACAACGAUUGACGCUGAGGCACGAAAGCGUGGGGAUCAAACAGG
rnacentral:rRNA from 1 species